AUUUAUGAGCAGUGGCAGUAUCAUAACUCAUGAGGUUAAUCCGAGGUGUGAAAAUUGCUAAUUGAAAGCUUUACCCAAUACCCUGCCUUGAUGACUUGAAGCAUAGUCAGAUAUGGCAAUCUUCGGUAGUCUCUAUUAAGA